CAAGAAGAACAAUAAAUUAUGGUAUUAAGAAACUGGGUCAGAUAUAUGCAGCAUUCUCCUACUAUACUUGUCUAAUGACUAAUGAGCAUUAAUCAAUACUGAUACCUGUCAUUACAACAGACAUUUAACCUUUAUACACUAUCAUCUCCUGAGAGCCCCAAGGCGAAUAUACAAAACUUUUCCCAAAUUUAAACUGAAGAUGGAUAGUCUUACUUCUACACAAUGGGAUUCCCAUCUACCAUAUCAUAAAAGCCUCAAAUGUCAAAGUUCACGACCUUGAUUGUCAGAAAUUUAUCAAGCUAACAUAGACAGAGUGCAAAUUUAAUUAUACAUGUACAAUUUCUCGAGGAUUAUACAUCAUCAAAAUCGAAGAUCACUGCAAAAACAUAGAUUAUUCCUCUUUGUUAUAAUAAAGAAACCCUCAACCUUGUCAUGAAAUGCCCUUAUGUCAUAAUUCAUGAUCUGGUAGGCCAAUUAUCCAACAAAUAGAAGAAACAAAAUCUCAAUCAUAUUAUGAUCUAUACCAUGAACUUAAGGGAAGAAUAAGUGAUAAAAACGCAAUUCAUCAUUCAGUAAUGGCAGUAACAAAAGAAUAUCAAAUUAAUGCCAUUUGAAAGAAUGCCAAGAAUUACAAGUUUACACAUUUAAGCACGUAACAGGUUACUCUUGUGAUAUCUAAUUAGGUAUAGAUAAAAAAAGAGUAACUUGGGAUCAAGUUUUGCAAGCUAUCGACUAGAAAACACUCAGGUCAACAAAAAAAUAAAAAAUAAAAACAAUUUUCUAUCUCUCAUUGACAAAUCACUGAGUGCAUGUUGAUUCACAAAAAACAGUUUACAUAUCUGUUAGUCGACAACUAGAAUGGACCAUAAAAAUGUAGCAAGUUAUACUUACACUCUCCUUUAACUAUUUUAAUGCCACUGUUUGGCAUCUCACCUUUAUCUUCUUCUUAGACGGUCAAAGAAAUGACUUUGAAAUUCAUUCACAAAGAUGUUACACGAAAAUGUUUCAGUAACAUAACAAAAGCAAUUGGAAAUGAAAGAAAACAAAGUAAAUGUUCAUGACCAAUAUUUGAAUUUUUUUCAUGUAUUUCUAGUACGACUCUAUCUAAGUCUCACAUAUAAUAUAUAUACAGAAUCAAAUUCUUACUAGGUUAUCUUCUAAAUCGAGAUCCUUUGUUUGGUCUGUCAGAAUUCCUCCCAUCCCCUGCAGAGGCCCAGAAGAACAGAGACAUCCAGAAAAGAACAGCAAAGAAGAUCUGAA
rnacentral:lncRNA from 1 species